CCCUUAGAUGUCCUGGGCCGCACGCGCGUUACACUGAUGCAUUCAACGAGCUUAUAACCUUGGCCGAGAGGCCUGGGCAAUCUUGUUAACGUGCAUCGUGAUAGGGAUAGAUUAUUGAAAUUAUUAAUCUUGAACGAGGAAUUCCUAGUAAACGCAGAUCAUCAAUCUGCAUUGAUUACGUCCCUGCCCUUUGUACACACCGCCCGUCGCACCUACCGAUUGGAUGGUCCGGUGAAGCCUCGGGAUUGUGGUUCUUGCCGCUUUAUUGUGGCGUGACCGCGAGAACUUGUCUAAACCUUNUNAUCUAANGGAAGGUGAANUCGUANCA
rnacentral:rRNA from 1 species